GUUCGCGGCGGCUGUGCGUGGGACACGCUUCGGCGUGGCCGAGGUCCAUGAUUGCUCGGUUCCUACUCUUGCGCACAGCUGCCACCCAA
rnacentral:antisense_RNA from 1 species